rnacentral:tmRNA from 1 species
GGGGUUGACUGGAUUUGACAGCGGACUGAGGUUGUAUGUAAGCAUGCGGAGUUAAGACUGUGCACUCCAUAAUCUCGUCGGUCAACAAUUUAAUUGGCGAAAACAACUACGCUCUCGCUGCUUAAUCGAAGUAUAGUAGAUUAGCUUUAUCCCUGCAAGGCAGGGAACGAGACAUCGCUCAGAGCCCUCUCCCUGAGGCUUACUGAUUAAAGCGGUGCAGAAAUAUCGGGGAUAGCAGGGGUAGUGCCUCUAUGCUCUUGUGAAAUCUUAUGGGGAUAAGGUUGCGGUUGGUGGCUUGGGUCUUGCCGUAGCACGAAAAUGAAGUCCAAGAUAAGCAUGUAGAAAGCACACGGUUUCACCGUUUGGACGAGGGUUCGACUCCCUCCAGCUCCAC